UAACGAGAUUUAUAAGCAACGAUUAGAAUAGAUUCUUAGAAGAAUUAUAGAGAUGAAGUUGGGAAAAGCUAAGAAUUUGAGUGUUUCAUAAUUAUUGAAGAGAUAUGAUCCGAUCCUAAAGCUGAACUCCAUGUCUUAUCUUGAAUAUCACCAGCGAUUGAAGUCCAAAGCUUUGGAUCUCGGAUGAAUCGGAUCAUAGACAACUUCAGCGGGGGUUGUUGCGUCAACGAAGGCUUUCCAGGCUGCCAUGCAGGUUCAAAUCAAAAUCGAAACCAUUAGUCGAUCCAAACAAUCCCUUUUCGAAGUUCAAAUUCAUGACAUCUCUUAAAACUUUCAGAUGUACAAAAGCAAAAUUGAUUCCAGAGGAUCAAACAGAGAAAGGCUCCCUGCAUAGAUCAGAUUAUACUUAAACGAAGCUUUUGGGAGAGAAUUAGAGCUUGAUUUCGUCAUCACGAACCAAGCGACCGUGAAAGAUUUUGGUUAACCCACCAGCUAGCAAUAUAGAGAUCUCUCAUUAAGCGAUUAAUAUGUUUUUUUUUUUUUUUUAACCAGCGAUUGAUAUUGAUGUCGAGACUUCUAGAGGCAACAAAGGAGAGUCUAAAAUAAAACUUCACAUAAAAGUCCUUCUUAUUUUAAAAUUUCAUUCAAUUCACCCCCAUAAUUUAUUAAGUAUUUUUUUUCACCUCUCAUUCGUAUGGGUUGGCUUUAAU
rnacentral:lncRNA from 1 species